rnacentral:tRNA from 6 species
GGUGUGGAAGUUUGGUAAGCGGUUAGCUGCCGCAGGUAAAAACGUCAUGGCGCGCGCAUUAACAGGGCAUGAAGUCGCGGGUUCAACUCCCGCCCGCACCACCA